rnacentral:misc_RNA from 1 species
AAGAGUUUAACUACUCAAACCAUUGUGAACCUUACCUCAACCGUUGCUUCGGCGGGCGGGCCCGGGCCAUGCCCGGCGCCCCCCCGGCCCUCGCGGGCGCCCGCCGGAGGUUAACCGAACCCUUGAAUUGUAUGGCCUCUCUGAGUCUUCUGUACUGAAUAAGUCA